CUAAAAUAGUUCAAUAUUUUCCCUUAAAAUUUUGCUCUUCACUCUAGAUAUUUUAAGAAGCACAACAUACAUUCAUAACCUUGUUCACUCCUGUUACUAACAUUUCAGAAUCAAAAUCAUGAAUAACCCAGAAUCCCUAACCCCAACCCUAACACAAUCUCCCCAAUUUCACAACACGGAUGCGCGCAUUCUGCGUUUCUCUCUACUCUGACGAGUUCUGCUCUACUCCACCGUGUUCUUCUACUCUGCCGUGUUAUUCUGCUCGUGCCGUGUUAUUCUGCUAGCUCUGCUCCGUCGUGUUCUUCUACUCGCAUCAAGUUCUGCUCUACUCUGCCAUGUUAUUCUACUCGCGUCGAGUUCUUCUUUGCUCCGCCAUUUUUUCUUCUCGUGCCGAGGUUUGCUCUGCUCCGCUAUGUUCUUUUGCUUGCACCUUGUUCUUCGUGUUGUUGUUUUGUUAAGCAAAUUGAGAUUAAGCCUUGCUUCAUGACUUGUUUGAUUUUAAUUAUAAUUAAUUUGGUCUUUCUGUCACUACUCGCCUUGUUGUGCUCUCUUCGUGUUCCUCUCUACUCGCGGUUCAUCGUACUAGUCAAGUUCUUCUCUUCACCUUGUUUUGCUCGCCGUUUGUCUUUGAUCU